CUACGGGCUGCUCCAGUCGAGAGGCUUCGUCAAUGGGGGCAACCCUGAACGAGCGACGCCGCGUGAGCGAUGAAGGUCGUAAGAUCGUAAAGCUCUGUUAGUGGGGAAGAAACCCCGGGGUGCUAAUACCACCACGGCUUGACGUUACCCACAAAGAAAGCUCCGGCUAACUCCGUGCCAGCAGCCGCGGUAACACGGGGGGAGCAAACGUUGUUCGGAAUCACUGGGCGUAAAGGGCGCGUAGGCGGCCUGGUCAGUGAAACGUGAAAGCCCCUGGCUCAACCAGGGAAUGUCGUUUCAUACUGCCAGGCUUGAGGACGGGAGAGGAGAGGGGAAUUCCCGGUGUAGCGGUGAGAUGCACUGAUAUCGGGAGGAACACCAGUGGCGAAGGCGCCUCUCUGGCCCGUUCCUGACGCUCAGGCGCGAAAGCAGGGGGAGCAAACAGGAUUAGAUACCCGAGUAGUC
rnacentral:rRNA from 1 species